UCAGACCACUCAGCCUCUGAGAGUUUGAGACACCUCAAGGUCUCAAGUCGAACCCCUUUGCUCAGUCUGUUGACGGUCGAUGACUCGACACCACGCCGUCCGGUUGCGAUUCUCUCUCGGUGAUCUUGGAAAUAGACUUGAAGAUCUAUAUGGCAUAGUUAUCGUCUUUCACUCUUGGUUCCAGAUCGAGUCAAUAUGAGGAGCAAUAUUGUAAGCCAUAGCAAACAUAUGUUACUUCAACAUUAUGAUGGAUCAGUUUACAUCAUCUCAUGGAAAGGGGAGGUACUGUUCUUGCUCUUCCCAUGUUGUAUGUGACAGUGUCAAAGCUUCAGAACAAGCUCGAAAGAGAAGCGAAUCAGAACACAGUGCACAAGAUGAUUGACAAAAUGAUACAAGAAGGUUUUGUUGAAGCCAAAAGCAACUGAAGGCUAGAUGUGUAUCUUCUGCAGUUUUAAAUUGGAAAGUUUUGUACUCAUCUUACUUAUGCUAGAUCAUUUAUCAACUGAAAUUUACAUAAAAUAGUUCUAAUCUCUCUACACAAGGAUUCAAACUUUAGUAUAUUAACUAUAGUUGGUUUGGAGAGAGAAUGUAAUAGUUUUUAGAAUCUAUUUUUAAUUUGUUGGAUAUUUAACUAAGAGUUUAAUGGAAAAAAUAU